CUCCUCUGGAGUCUUGCAGCGAGCCCAGGAUGUGGCAGGGUGCCAUCAUCUGGGUCUCCCUGCUGGCAACGGCAUGAUAGAUGGCGACACAUCUUAUGUUUGCAGCAAAGGCUGCUUUGGCUUACGUCUGUCCGGCUAGCAAAACAGAGCAAGCUGCCAAAAACAACAGUCCAAGUGAAAACAGAGUAAUAACACCAGCAGCGUGGGAGACAGCAGCCAAGGAGGAACACACGAGCCCCAGAGAACAGGCCAUCAAUUUUCUUGCUGUGGCUGGCUGGAGGAAACUGAAAUGUAUAUUGCAGUGGCUUCUGACGCCAGCCACUGCUUUAAGCUCCAUGCUUCAGACUCAAAAUACGUUACCCUAAAAACGAAGCAAAAAAUUCCCCAACCUAUUAAUAGAUUUGUAUAAAGAAAUCCCUUGUAGUUUUUAAUCAUUUACAUCUGGGACUGAGAAACCAACCAUAAAAUGUCAGUAUGGCUAUUACAUGGGUCACUGGAACAGGUUUAUGUUAGCUAAUAUGCUGAAACAGUAGAUUAGGAAGAGGAUAGUUUAUGGUCUUUAGUUCAUUUGUUGACAGGAAGAAUCAGGAGCAGAUUUGUUUUAUGCCUGAACCCAUCAUGAAACAACUAGGAACAGAGCAGUGAUUAAAAUCCAGGCAACAGAAAUAGGAUAACGACUAGGCUACGUAUAUAUUUCUGUGGGUGAGCUAGAUGUUUGUGAAGGGAAGGAGCUAAUGAGAUCACAGAAAUCAGCAGAGCAGAGCAGAGUGCUCCUGUGCAGCCCUCUGAAGUGACUCAGCAAAGAACAACUGCUUGGCAUCCCAUUGCAGAGCUGGUAAAUACCACAGCCCUUCAUGAGAUACAGCACUCACAAAGGAAAGAACUUCCACAGACCUACAGAAAUCAAAUGUGUUCUUAGAAGAAAUGUAUUAACCUAUAUGCAGUGUUCUAGCAGGUCCCUAGAAGUAGCUAGAGCUUGCCAAAGUGCAGGCACUCUAACACAUUUGAAAGCCUUGUUAAAUCAUCCCAUGCUGUCUUUGAUUAUUAAUUUUGUAAUUCAGAUAUGACUUUUCCUCUUGCCUGCUGUUCCU